UACGUAGGGUGCAAGCGUUGUCCGGAAUUAUUGGGCGUAAAGAGCUCGUAGGCGGUUCGUCGCGUCGGCUGUGAAAACCCGGAGCUCAACUCCGGGCCUGCAGUCGAUACGGGCGGACUUGAGUGUUGCAGGGGAGACUGGAAUUCCUGGUGUAGCGGUGAAAUGCGCAGAUAUCAGGAGGAACGCCGGUGGCGAAAGCGACACACUGGGUCUCAACUGACGCUGAGGCACGAAAGCCAGGGAGCGAACGGG
rnacentral:rRNA from 1 species